CCACAAUCAACAAACCCUUGUUGUCCAGUAUGUUCCUGUAGUAGUUGUUGUCCAAAACCAUGGGUGUCCCACGAUCGUUUCUCACAUACUGGACGGCCUUGGGGUCUGGGAUUUGAUCAGGGCAUUUAUGGAGCAUGUGUGGAACAUGGUCGGGGCUGAGGGCAGGGUCAACCUCUGGGUACAACCGAUGCACCAGCUUCACACAGUGAGUUCUGCCGACACUGUGAGCUCCUGUUUUGCACAAAAUAGGAAACUUAGAGCCAAAAAGAUGCUAGAAAUAUAAUCUCCAUAAUGUUCACUCACACAGUCGGUCACUUGCAUUUACUGAUACUUAUGUAAAGAUGGAAAAGGAGUACCUAGGAGGGCAACGACUCCAGGGGUGUCAAUACCCAUGGCGGCAAACCUGUCGAGAACGCCAGAGAUGGUCUCAUUGUGGUCCGGAAGAUACUCCUCCACAACAUCUGCUCUGCUCCUUCUACCGUCUCUUCUUCCAGUUUUGAGAGGAAUGUAAGGGCCUCCCAACUGAAACAAGUGAAUUUGGGGUUACUUUUACUUGACUGACAAGCUAAGCUAAACUUAGUAAUUCACACAAUUAAGAUAUGCAUCCAGGAAUUUUAAGUAUUUAUUACAGUUAAAAUAGGAUCUAAGCACAUGAAACUGAAGUUGAAACCUCAAAGGACUGGGAAAGCAAAGGUUAGUAGUAGAUUAAGCAAACGAAACCUCCACUAAUCUUACUGAUCUAGUGCAAAAGGAACUCUCAAGUAAGCACAUAGAAAUUGUAGUUUUAAUUAAAUUUGAAUGGAGGAAGAGUAAUCUAAAGGGGUGGAAAGAAAUUUUUACCGAAACGAUGCCUUCUCUAGCAGACAGAACAAGGAUAUCAGCACAAGAAACAACUCCAGGACAUUCCCUUUCUACAGCUUCUUUGAUGGUCUCAAUGUACCUGAAAUUCCUUAGGCCAAAGCUCCUGUCUGUCUCCUUCUCAGACAAGCUCCUUCUUGUGGAGUCCAGCAGCAGUGAAGCAUCACAUGA
rnacentral:lncRNA from 1 species